GAUGAAGAACGUAGCGAAGUGCGAUAAGUAGUGUGAAUUGCAGAAUUCAGUGAAUCAUCGAAUCUUUGAACGCACAUUGCGCCCUUUGGUAUUCCUUAGGGCAUGCCUGUUCGAGCGUCAUUUAAACCUUCAAGCUAAGCUUGGUGUUGGGUGACUGUCCGCUUCACGGCGGACUCGCCUCAAAAUUAUUGGCGGCCGGUACAUUGGCUUCGAGCGCAGCAGAAACGCGAACUCGGGCCCGUCGUAUUGGCUCCCAGAAGCUAUCUUCACAAUUUUGACCUCGGAUCAGGUAGGGAUACCCGCUGAACUUAAGCAUAUCAAUAAGCGGAGGA
rnacentral:misc_RNA from 1 species